rnacentral:lncRNA from 1 species
GAUUACAGGACAGGAAAACCAGCAGGCAGAGACACAUGGCACAUAUGUGUGUACAUGCAUCUGGAAGCCAAGACUCAAUGGGCUCCUUCAUUGCUCUCGUCUGAGUAUUUUUAAAACAAACUCUGUCACGGAACCAGUGUAAAACUGCCUUGUCCACAAGCCCCUGGAAUCCACGCGUCUCUGCUUCCCCAGCCCUAGAAUCACAGGAGAACACCACUGCAGCCAGCUGGUUAGAGGUAUAGACUGUUGCUAUCUAGAAUCAGAAGCUGUGGCAUACUGCAACUGUUUCCAUAGUUCCUGGAGGCUACUUUGUAUCCAUCUUGUUCAUCAAACCCUCAGCUCCUGCUUCACCGUAAGGUGAGUCACCAACGGAUGAGAGGCGGACUUUAAGAGAGAGACAUUGGAGGCCUCCUAUUUCCAAUCUUCC